AUUGAACGCUGGCGGCAUGCCUUACACAUGCAAGUCGAGCGGCAGCGCGGGGGCAACCCUGGCGGCGAGCGGCGAACGGGUGAGUAAUGCACCGGAACGUGUCCUCUUGUGGGGGAUAACCAGUCGAAAGACUGGCUAAUACCGCAUGAGCACGAGAGUGGAAAGCGGGGGACCGCAAGGCCUCGCGCGAGAGGAGCGGCCGAUGCCGGAUUAGCUAGUUGGCGGGGUAACGGCCCACCAAGGCGACGAUCCGUAGCUGGUCUGAGAGGACGACCAGCCACACAGGGACUGAGACACGGCCCAGACUCCUACGGGAGGCAGCAGUGGGGAAUUUUGGACAAUGGGGGCAACCCUGAUCCAGCCAUGCCGCGUGUGUGAAGAAGGCCUUCGGGUUGUAAAGCACUUUCGGACGGAACGAAAUCGCGCGGGCGAAUAUCCCGCGUGGAUGACGGUACCGGAAGAAUAAGGACCGGCUAACUACGUGCCAGCCGCCGCGGUAA
rnacentral:rRNA from 1 species